UACGUAGGGGCCUAGCGUUGUCCGGAUUUAUUGGGCGUAAAGAGCUCGUAGGCGGUUCGGUAAGUCAGGUGUGAAAUCUCCACGCUCAACGUGGAGGCGCCACCUGAAACUGCCGUGACUCGAGUCCGGUAGGGGAGUGUGGAAUUCCCGGUGUAGCGGUGAAAUGCGCAGAUAUCUGGAGGAACACCGGUGGCGAAGGCGGCAUCCUGGACCGGCAUUGACGCUGAGGCGCGAAAGCCAGGGGAGCAAACGGG
rnacentral:rRNA from 1 species